UUACUUAUAGUACUUCGUCGGCGGCGCGUGGCACAAUACAAGGUUACGACGCGGAGGAGUACAGCAAGAAUUUCGAUCAAGGGAUGGGGUGGGAGGAGCCUGAUAACCUCCCCAGAUCUUUCUCCGCCCGUUUUGCCGAUCCUUCCCGGAUCCUCUACCGCAGCGCCAGCACUUGUUACGCUAGAUGACACCUCAGCAUUCACCUAAUUAAAUUUAAAAUAAAAUCAUUUUUGAUUUGUAAGCGCAGUUGUUAUCUCUUGACUUAUGAUUUGUCCAUCCCCUCCUGUAAUGAUCGUGAUGGUGUUCUUUGACCAGUUGUUUUCCUCUGUUCUUUUUUUCUUAUUCCUUUUAAAAUCCUUUAUGCCGCCAGCGGCUGUUUCAAAUUCCGGCGAGAGGAAAGAAUGAAGUAUGGUAGGGUUUUACGAUAAGCGAUCGCUAUAAAUUAACGUGAGGAAUUCUAAACUUACAAUAUGUAUAUACAGAAAGUCAAUAGAUCGUCUCUAUGUUUUGUAACUGGAUAGAAUGAGUAUGAGAGGUUGAUUGUGGAUUAGUUCCAUUGACCGUUGCAGUAAGUACCAGAAAGUAAGAUUAUAAGAAAGAAGAAUCAGUUACGGAUCCUUGUAUUUUAUUUUAAUCUUGCAAAAAGAAUCUGAUAGAUUUUGUUAUUUGUUUAUUUAUUAUUGAAUGGAGUAGUAUAACGAUGUAUAUCAAUAUUUUAUAAUAAAAUUUAUUAUUUGUCUGAA
rnacentral:lncRNA from 1 species